CGCGAAGCCUAUAUCUCGCGGAAGAACUCUCGAAACAGAUCUCAAAUGAAACAUUCCACAUCGAAGAAGGAUAUGAGAAGACAACUCAUCACCUUCCUUCCCCACUAUACACUAACUCAUAAAAAAGAGUACCACUUGAUUAUCUCAUCAUAAAAAGCCGAGGAGCGGCAGAGAUUCAAAUCCACACACGGCCAGUCCCGAAACAUGAAACAAGGCAAUAUAAGGUCGAAACAUCAAACAUAAAAACAUAAAAAACAAAUCUCUCGCAAGAGAUCUAACCAAAGUCAUCCUCAGAACUCACGCCCCUUCUUGGAUCCGUGGCCUCUUGGAUCCCGCGGCUCGCUACUCCUGCAUGGCCCUCGAUCUGACGCUGGAGCCGACGCACCUCCGAAGAUUUGGCCUUCCUGGCCUUCUUCUCCUUGAGCAAUGAACUCGCCGUCUUCCCAAGGUCCCUCUCGAGCUCCCCUAUCGCGACCUCGAGUUUCGACACUUUCGCGGAGUGAGAAUCCUUGACAGCCGUCAGCAUGGCCUUGGUUUCAG
rnacentral:lncRNA from 1 species